rnacentral:lncRNA from 1 species
UACAGUCAGACGUUUUGUAAAUGUCGGAGCUGGACCACGAGAGAGUCCUGGACUGAUGGCUCCAGCACACGAUCACUUAGCCACAGGCUGGAGUUGUUAUGCGCAGCACCUUGGCUUGCUUUCCCUAAGCACACCUCAAAUUGAAAGGGAGGUAAAGCCUCAUCAGUGAAACAGGCAAAUGCUGGGGUAGUGAGUCAUCUCCAGCUCUGAGAAGGGGAAAUGCCUAGAGCAAGGGCUACAGCCUUAACAGCCCCACCAGUUCCCAGUUCCAAUAUUGUUUCCUGGAAUGAACUUUUACAACCAGGAAGAAGCUAUUUAAAACCUUCAUUACGAUACUUUAGCAUCUCACCAUGAAGGAUAUUUAAAAGCAAAAUGACCUGAAGCAGGUGUGAGUAAUCUGUGGAUAGAACAGAGCUCUGCUCCAGGCGCAAGCACUGCUGUAGGUAAAGUGCUGAAGAAGAGGAAGACUACAGGCUAUUUAUCCAUGGCGGCAGCACAGCUUGGGGCAAGGCAGAGCUAAGACGACCCCUCUGUCUUUGUGAAGAUGCCAGAGGAAACCACCAAAGAAUUUAGAGAUUUCCUGAAAUCUUGGGAAAAAAUCCAGAAUACCCUGUACACCUGGAAAGAGGACCAAACUGAUAGCCAUCCCAGCCAAAGCCUUUACGAAUGUCCACUACUGUUGAUUUACCGACUGACAGACAUAUGAGCCAAUAUGACUGUAGAAGAAUGUACUUUCAGAUACACUCUGGAUGUUGACAGAAUUGGUUCCUCUUGGUUGUAGGACGGAGGGUUCAGCUUUUUGCUAGCUUUGGCUAGAGGUUGCCCUCAACUACUGAAGGUUGCCCACAGUUCCUUUCCAUAUGGGCUUUCCCAACAUGGCUGCUUACUUCACUAAGUCAGCAAGGAGAGGCUCUAAAGCCAAUCUGCCAGCAAGACUGAAUCUUACAUAAGGGAACAGAAUCGAGGAAGUGACAUCAUUAUCAUCCUUGCCAUAUCCUGUCCUUUAGAAGCAAGUCGCAGUUCUGACCUACCCUCAGGGUACACCCUCCAGUCUAUCCGUCACAAGGUCGUUUGUUACACAGGAGAAGUUAACUGAUACAACCAAAAGACUCUCUCCUUUGCUGGUUUUGAUGAAGCAUGCAGCCAUUUAUGAGAGGCCAAGAAACCAAGGGCAGCCUCCAGCCAAGAACCAGCUGAGGGUGGCCCCUAGCUGACAAUCAGCAAGACGUUGAGGCCACCCGCCCUACAACACCAAGGAACUGAAUUCUACUAACAACUGCACGAAUUUGAAAGUGGGUUGUUCCCCAGUUGAACCUUGAGAUGAGACCAUCAGGCCAACCAACAAUCUCAUUGAAGUCACAUGAAAUCUGGAAGCAGAAGAUCUGACUAAACUGUGCCCACACACCUAACCACAGAAACUGUGUAUUAAUAAAUGUGUGUUGUUUUAAACCAACGUCUUUGUGGCAAUAUUGCUACCCAACAAUAAAUAACUAAUAAACAGUCCAAGAAUCAACUCACGAAUUUCUU